CAGAACCCUAGCACGUUUAUUCAACGGCAUGACUACCUGUGGACCCUGUGUCGGGGGGAUUUAUCAAAAAACAUUGUCUGUUUAUCUAUUCAAUUUGUUCUUUACCUUUCAAUAUUACUCGGUGUUGGUCGCGGGGAAAAUUAACAAAUACAAAUUAACGUUCCUUUGCGUAAAUUUAUACGCAUGCAUGGGCAUGUUCCGGGAAUUGGCUAACCUUACUAACGCAUGUAUUUUGUAUCGAAUGUAUUUUCGGGCGUCAUUGACGAAGCUCUUGAAUUCAAUUACUCGCGAAUUUUUGUCUUUCUGACGGCAUUCGUUCGUUUAUCUAUUUUAUUCGAAGCGCAUGAUUAUCCACAGUCAUCGAGGUGAAAAAUACAUCGGAAUAUUAUCGGAUAUCUUCAAGUUUUCACGGGUGUGAGAAGUAGCCGGUAAAAAUUUAAUGAUUUGAUAAACUUCGAUCAUAAACGAUAAUUAUAUUUUCUUAUUAUGGUUUUACGGUACGUCUCAACUUCACUUUAUAUAAUAGCUUUCUAAUCGAUUUUAAACUUCACUUUCACACGAGAUGUCUUAUCUUGAUGUAAUUCUGCGGUUACCAUUAUGUGUCGACGUAUCAAACCACCUUCUAUAAUAUUUACUGCGAUACUCGAUUUAAUUUUCGUAUCGAUAUCACGAUUAACGCCCGCGAUGCCUAUUGUUAGUAUAUGAUAUUGGGCAAACGCGUAAUUAUUACAACACGUUCAUCAUUCGUGUAUAAGGUCACAAAUUAACUUGGUACCUCGUUUAAUUCCAACCAAUAAAACGCGUCAUCUAACUUUUACCACGUUCUACGAAGGCGAACAGUCGAUUAGGCUACUGUGGGAUUGAACAAUCGUUAAGCUCAAGUUGCUCCUUAAUUAGCCUCAUGGACUUUCUACUUACAGUUUUACUCGCGUCAAUUCGUCAAGUUUUGAUUUCAAUGGAUAAUUAUUACCUCGAAUGGACGCGACGGUAUCACACAUCUUCGAUUGAACGCCGUCAAGAAAGUUAUAUACGAAAUAACGUUGCUCGAGAAAUAUGUAGAAUUUUUUCAACAAUCAUUCGGGCUAAUUUUUUUCGUCCGUAUAGUCAGUUGGCAAAGUAUUUGUGACCUGCGCGAUUUGUUGAAAAGAAUCGUAUGUAAGCUAGACUCUUAGUUUGAAAAUAAUUUUUAAGCGCUGGAAGCGAAGAUAUGUCUAGAUAUCUCUAGACUCUAGGACACGCGUCCACGAUUAUUCACAUGAUCUAGACGCGGCAGCUGUCCAGACACUACAAUGUCACAUCGAACGUACAAUAUGAACCUUUUAAAUUAACGUACUUGGCUGGCCGUAGGAACGAGCGAUUGUCUAUUUUUAAUUCUCUUCACAGACCCCUGAACAUAGUCCUUAUUAAAUUUCAAGUACGUCGUUCAUAAUUUCCAAAUGCACGUCGCAUCUCGCGCCGAAGGCGCUGAUCCUCGUUCGAAACGACAAAGUUUCGAGUCAACUCUUAUUUGGUUGGCGCGUGAGAUUAAACAAGUAUCAAAAAGCUCGAACGCGCGCCCUUGGGGCACACACCUAACAAGUCGUAGACGGUCUUCCUUCUUUGAUUGUACCGAAAAAAUUAGCAUACAAAAGAGAGGAGGAAUAACCCAACCUAUUGAAAGACCUCGCAUAACAAGAAGCCAUAAAAAGCCUGUAGCUGAACUUUGCUCCAAACCGUUAUGAAAUUAAAUUGGAACCGAUCAUCGGUAUUCUCCCGGUGCUAUUUCGGAAUCGUCGAAUACCUACUCACACAUCGUGAGCGCCAAUAAGAUCGCAGACAUUUAUUUUACUUUUUUUUUCUCAAAGAAAAGCCAAUAAAUCGGUAGAUUCCGCGAUUUUCACGUAACGAAAUGUCGUAACAGCUCCAACGUCUCCCGAGGAUAUAGUUCGACCGUUAAACCAUAAUGAGCGUGAUUUCACGGUUCGCUAUGACGUCACGGCCCGUUUAACCUUUCAAUAUCGUGCAUCGGAACCUGCAAUCGACGGUGAUUCAUUUCAGACAAGUGGUGCGGUUGGUUGUUGACGACGAACGUCGUUCAGGUUUAUGUACAUUUUUAUAGUACACGACGAUCAUGUAAUAACGAAAUGACGAAUCCACCCCGUGCGUAUUAGCAACAAUGUAUUCGAGUUCUGUCGCAUUUUCACCUCCAUAACGCCACGGAGUCCGUGCGUGCUAAUUGUUUUAAUUGCGGUACAUUAGGUGUGCCUAUCAUUUAGAGCCACAAACCAGUGAACGUCUUUUAUCCGAUUAUAGAUCAAACAAACUCUUCCCAAAAAAAUGAACCAACCAAUAGGUGAGGAAAAUGCUAAAAUUGAAGUCGCGAAUAAUAGGAUAGAUACGAGAUAACGAUAUUUCACGGCUGUACGAAGGUCACGUUUAUAGUAAGAUGAUCACGUGAUACGCACGUAAUUCUCGCUACUCGCGUUCAACAAAUCCUGUACGUAAUAUCUUUUGCGAGGCUUCUGCGGAGUUUAUUAUAUGUAUCUAACUAUACGUAUACGUCACGUAUAUGUCAGUUACCGUCCUUUACGUUUCAUGGUUUGUUGCGCUAGCUUCUAUUCGGAAUUACAAUCUUAUCUCUACGCUGAUUCCUGCGACAUCCUCGUAUUACGUGUUAUUAUAUUCGAUCGCUCGCGUUUCGCGUCGCCCAGACAUCAGCAGCUACCUCGGGUCUCUGAACUCAUACAACUGUCGAAGGUGGUGCAGCUUCUGCUUGACGCUGACAGAAAAACGGGGAAAAAAGCAAAAUGAUGGUCGAGUCGAAACAGAGCACCGUUUUCCUUCUGUGUACUCGAAGCCAAAUACAAGCCCACCUACGAUUGAAAAUAACGCGCAAUGAGAUAAGAACAUUCGGAAAGAAAAAGUACUCGAAAGAGCUUUAGAGGGAAGAAUACUCGAUGAGGAACGUGUGAAGUUAAAUUUUUCUACUCGGACGUCGUUCUCGCUGGAUUUUAACGAUCGCACCUCCAAAGUUGCAGAUGCUGACGCUUCGGCCCCUACACGAGCAUUAGAUCCGAUAACCGUGGUUGCGCUUCGUUCGCAACUUAUAAUGAGCACACGCGCAGUAAUCGAAUACGACGACGACAGAACGCGGAGACACGCGCCGUUUUCGAUUUACGAGGUCGGCACGAGGAGGUUACGUUGCACCGUCACGGUUGCACACGCAACGCUGAGCGAGCCAUUUCUGUCGUUUAAACGCAAGAUUAUUCAGCUAAAUUUUACGAGCUCUUGUCGGUAGUUCGUUUCACCGAUAACUUCGGAUCUCGUACAGGUCAUUACACGUUACGAAACUUCAUGAAUUCCUUUCAUUCUUCAGAUACGGGAAAAAAUCACGUCGAAAUAUUUCGACGUUUUUCAGAGUCGCCUAUACAUUGUAUAAAUAUGUGGUUUGAACGAUGUGUGUCAUCGUGCAUUUGAAUAAUUUAUUUCUUCGUCCAGAUUACCCUUUGAUCUCCACGGUAAUUGCCCGAAGUACAAUUAGUAUUUUAAAAGACCACCACGCAAAUUACCAUUGCAUGACCAUUGUUAUUCAAGUUCACAUAUAUGUUAUUACGGUGUUGUUAACUUGUCAGCCGUUAAUUCAACAUCGAUAUUUUAUUUCUUGUUUUUUUUUUUUGUCAUCGUUGUUGUUGUCUCUGUUAUUUUAUCGUUCGGUGCAUACAUAAAUAUAUCAUAAUUCAAUCAGAUGAUGAAAACUAUGUUCCAUAUCCACGAUAACGAUAAUGAUAAUAAUGUAUGUGUAAAUUUAGAACUGGACUACCUACAAACGAGUAAUUCCACGGAAAACCUGUUCGAAAACAACAACAAACGUUGAUUGAUGAGCCGGUGUGUGCGUAGAGCAAAUUUUGCAGGAAUUUCUAAACCACUGGGGUAAUUCGAUUAAUCGAUAGAUUCAUCGUUAUCAUGGGGGGGAAUGAAGAGUAAUGAUCGGCUUGAUUGCCACUUUCUUCGUACAUCCGCCGUUAUUGCCAUUUGAAGAUAUGAUAAUUACAUGUAUUGAUGCAAACUAUAAUUACGUAAAAUCGUUCACGUGUCAAUCGCGAGACCGUUUGAUAAGGAUAACCAGACUGCAUAAAAAUUUUCUCGUCAUUCUUGAAACUAUUCAGAAUUAAUGGAUAUUACGUGUCGAGAGACGGAGUUCGCAUGCUUUCGCCUUAUCGCGCAGCCGAUCACAACUGUUAUCGAUAUUCCAAUAAAUCGAACAUGAAUGGAAGUGAAAAGUCCCUACCAUCGUUGUGUCAUCUCUGCAGUCGUCAUGGAAGAUUUAAAGAACUAAUAAGUCUCGUGAUUCCGCCGUGAAAAUGAAUGAGUCACAUCUUUCCAAAAACCAAACAUCAACCGUGAUAAUUGUUUGAAAAAAUAGAGUUGAGCCUAAUUUUUUUACACGAUAUAAUCGACGGCGCUGCAAAUUUUUUGCCGGCGAGGUGAUUCUAUUUCGUUCAAUUGGAGAGGAUAUAUCGCGAUGCCCACGUCCCUUUAAACUAGGUGCGCUUGAUGAUACCGAAAGAAAUUCUCCGAAUCGUUUUCAAGGUAUCGUCAUUUUCCGCCUAGACAAUUGACUGGAAAGCACGUGGAAUUAAACGUAGUAUUUAUCCGUCUGUAACGUGUGAUUCACGGUAUACCAUUCGUGAUCUCACUCACUCACUUAAAGAGCAAAUUAUCACCUAAUUCCUAAUAACUACCUUUUGUAGAAUCACCUCUUCGGUGAAUUUCCUAUCUCUAAAUUUUUAUUUACAUGUUUACACCUAGCCUAUUAGCUUUCCGAGAUUAUUUAUUUAUUUUUUUCUUCUUCUUUUCGGUCAACUCAAACACGUGAGCCUAAUAAUUGAAAGUAUUCCUCUACGGAAAUAUUGGAUACGAAAUGUUUGUCUUUCGAUUUACCAAUUCUUCCAUAAUCUAAUCGCGGGUAGCGACAAAGAUCUUAAUUGUGAGCACGGAAGUAUGUAUGUACGUCGUGUAGAGGUAACAACGCAAAACGAGUUUUUUAAAUCUAUUUAAAAAUAUUCACAAAUAAACGCGAGGCUGGUAAUUGUCAGGUAUUGUUUGCAAACAAUGACUUCUAUUUAUAGAAUAAUUUAAUUAACUAACAAUCCGGAAUCAUCGAUUCAUUGAAAUUCUUAUUUUAGAGCAAUGAUAAUUAGCGAGAUUACCAGCCGCGACGUGAGUCAAGUUCGGCGUAGGUACGAUACACGGACUUCAUUCAAUUGCCGAACAGCUGUGAAUGUUCAAGUGACUCGGCGAAAUUUAUUUUAUCUCUCAAGAUUUUCACAAUAUUCCAUUAAAGCCGACUGCGGUUUACCGUUACAACUAAUGAAGAAUAACUCGCAAUGUGUUGAUGAAACUGGAACAUGGCUUCCGGUCAGAUUAACACAUUCGACAGAGACGCACUUUAUGUCACACUCGAAUCACGUGAACCGUAAGGAUUCCUUUUAUUUCGCGGAUUUAAACUCACUUUCACAACACGCUCAACACGUACAAACCUCAUUUAACGAUAAAUAUUGUGCAAUUAAAAAAAAAAUAAAAAAAUAUCAAAACUUUCGUUACUAGUAGGAUUAAAAAUGAGAAGCAAAGAAUCGUUCGAAGUUUCCAUUAAAGAAUUAUCCCCCGCCGUUUGUCUAUGCGAAUGAGAAUAAAGAAAUUUAUUUUAUCUCCGAUUUGACCGCGAGAGAAGAAUUGCGAAACGUUCAUUGCGUACGGCGAGCUCAUUCGAAUAUAAUAAACGUUUAUGUCACUGCAAUGCGAGAACUGUUCUUCAAAAGAUGAAGAUUGCAUAGCUUUGAUAUUUCCUGUUAUUGCGGCACAUUGCCAUUCGGGGAAAACAUCGAAUAUUUGCGCAUAGAGCGAAUUCUCGCAAGGGGUAUAACACCGUACGACAUAGGGCAACGUAUAUCGUGUUUAGCGUGAAAGGAAUAAAAAAGGUUAGAAAUUAGAUACGACAGUUAUCGGAGAUUGUAAUUUAAUCUCAUAUACGGCGCGAAUAAAUAUCAAAAUUCGCGCGUAUCUUCGUAGCGAUUAUCGUAGCGUUCUUUCCGCAGCUGGGAUUAUCGCGGGUCGAGAGUCCACUAUCAAAAUUGAUCAGUCGUCGGAUCUGAUGAUGAACAAAACUAACAAGAUCGAUGAUUUAUUUCGCCUAUCCGAUUUGUGCGGUGUACAUACCUAAAGCGUGCGAGCUAGUUUUUUAUUUCAUGUUUUUUUUUUUUUUUUUCUCGAACAUACUUUUGCUUCGUCGCUGAAAAUAAUAAUCAUUCGUUCACGAGUGCGCGCACAUCGAGAGCUGGACGAGAUGGAUUAUCUUUAGCAAGCAACAACCUUCGCCUAAAGUUGGCUUUCCCUAUAUGCGCGGCACGCAGAUAUACCAGAGUCAAAUGACCGUGAUUUUCUAGUUCCUCGUAGCGACGCCAAGUUACAAACUUACAUUAACGUUAACCGCGUAUCAAAUUAUGCAACGAUAUCGUAACUCGCUACGUUUCAUCGUUAAUUGAUAAAUCGCGAUAUCGCGGUUGCAUCAUUUUUCACGAUCCGGCGUCGCGAUGCACCUAACCGAGGGCGUCCCCGAGAACUUAUAGCGGUCAAACGUCUGGUCGUUCGUCUGUGACACUCCCUGCUCGCAAUCGUACCUAUUUUCGUCAAAUUUUUACGACGCAAUGUUGUAGACUAUCGUCGAUUCGAGUGCUCUCGCAAGGAUUGAUUUAGCUUUUAUUCGUCUGCCGCACCACGCGAGAUGCUCACCGACGAAUGCCCCGAUAAAAACGCAUUCCCAACAACAGCAACAACAACAACAACACGCGUAUACAUCGACACGGCUGUGUCCUUAAUUGAAAAUAAUGAUUCCAGUCAGUUGGUCAUCGGCCUACUCCAAGGUGCGACGAGUACCUUACAAUCGGUUUUUUUCAUUUCUGGCCAACUUUUCUGACGACAAAUAUAAAUAACUCGCGAUAAAAUCGGCGGGUAAAAGUCGAGGCCGAUGUGUAAAAAUAAGAGUUGAAAUUGGCAAAAGUGAAGCUAGUAUUAGACAUGACACUCGCGGCGGGAUAUGUUUCCCGACCUUUGAAACAAUUCCGCAUGUUAUAGAGGUAGGUCGCGAAAACGCAGUUGAUCAUUUUGUUAUUCGAACUCAUAUCCGAAUACAACAUCGCUCGGUUUACUGACCCCCGGAACUAUACGGGCGCUCCGUUCGCCGUUCAUUUUAUCACCUUGCACAUUUUUUUUAAAACCUAUCAAAUUUUUGGAGAACUUGCCGUCCUUAAAAAUCAGUGAUCCAUUUCGAAAUCAUUUGAAAUUCACGAACUGAGGUCCCGAUUGAGACCGAGUUGACAUCUCCGUAGCACAUCGAUUGAUUGGAAGAGGUUGCAAAAAGUCGAGGAAAAGGAAAAAAAGUAAAUAAAUUAAAAGAUUGAAUUUCACAAUGUGAGACUGAAAUAGCUUCGAUGUGGCUGUGGCCACGAGUCACCGGAGUGGCAAAUAGUAGACUAUUAUGAUAUCUGACGUAAAACUCGACGGGCGCAAGAAACGAUCUGAAUUAGAUCGAUACAAUGACAAUUGAAUGUUGAACCACUCAAAGCUUGACUCAAUGGAGACUAAAAUCUAUCCACGGACUGUAAUUUUCAAUUGUUUUAAUUUUAGAACGCGGCAAACUGCGAUACACUGAUCUAGUGUGUAUAUUGGAAGGACACAAACGGUACGAAAAGGAAAGGAAACGAGACGACGAGAUGAGUUGAAAGAAUUUUCGAAAUAUGAUUGUGGGAAAAGAUAACUUUAUUACUAGAAUGACAAUUUCUGCCGCAAGGGAUAAUCUCGUACAUCCGCCAUAUAAAUUCUUCAGCGAUACGUAUAGAUGUGUCAUUGCAAUGCCGCUACUCACACAACGUGUAUAUGUAUAUAUAAAUUAAUCAACUGGUGACAUCUGUGAAUAGGUAUUUACUUUAGCCAUCGUUGAUGCUAAUUAUUUUCGCGAAUCUUCGUAUCACAGCUGAAAGUCCGCGAUCUCGGAAGACUUUGAACCGCAUUUAAUCCUCCCCCAAGUAUUCAAUUAUUUUAAAUACGCAAAUAGAUCAGCCCCACUAUAUAAAUGAACCGUCGGGGUCAGUUUUAAAUAGAUACACAGAGAUAUCAAUACACAGGUGCAAUUGGAACGUAAGUAGUUGCACUACGCCUAAAAAGUUGUCGAAUAAAUAUUCGUUUUAGCAAAUCUGCAGCCCACGUAUAGGUGCAUAGGAGUGCCGAACAACGUCAUCCAAGGACGGGAUUUCUCUUCUAAUUAUAAUACGUGAACGUUGACGCGAUAGGAAAAAAAAUAUUAUCCGAUAUUUCCUCUUUAAUUGUAUAUUGGGAAUAACCAAAGCGGCCUCGCCGGCAGGGUUCUGACGUCUAUCCGUUUAACCGAGUACGAAAAUGCCGCGCGUUUGUAUCGAUUUAUAGAUAUUCAAAUUUUUCUUACACGGUUAACCUGAGGGGUGUGACGUAAUUAUGCCAGAUCCGUAAGACCGGUUACACUAUAAUACCGUCGGGGAUAUACAUGCAAAUUUUACGUGUAGGUAUACGGAGGCAGUGUUCAAGGAAAACCCGAAGAUCGCUCGAAAGUUCGCGUUGGUUAUAUCAAAUUAAAAGGCUCAAUGAGCGACCACGCUGCCUGGAUAUACUCGGAGAUUUCAGAUGCGAGAAAAAACUUAUCGAAACCGGAUACCCGCAUCGGCGAAACUGUGGUACUUUUAUGCUGUUCAUAUAUUUUCACCAAAGUCACGGGAUGUUAUUUUCGCGCUUGGCAAAGACGUAUGCGCGCGUGGCCCGCAGCGACCAAGAAACGCCUCGGAGGCGAGUGUUUCUAAUAAUACAGCGGACAGGAUGAGAGGGAAAUAAUAAAAAAAAAAACAAAAAAAAAAAAAAACAGAAACGUGAAAUGAAAGAGAAAAAAAAGAAAUUGCGCGGGGUGAAAACUGGAACUUGAGUCCGUGUAGCAGAAUUAUAACAACGUCUGGAGGUUCACCUGGCUAUUUACUACACCACAGGUAUAUAAUUUAUCGGUUACUUUUUUCAAGGUGUCACAUUUCCUUUUAACCACUUUAGCGCUGCAGAUCUGCGGUAAUUAACUCUCUUGGCCGUUUUUUUGUCUCGGGUCAUCGUAUCUCCUCCUAACGCCUCGCACAGGUUAUUUCAGUAGACGUAAUCCAGUAUUACGGUCAAUCCUCUGUUGAUGGCAUUCUAUAAAUAAACGGAAACUACUCCUGGUUCAAGGAGGACCAUGAACCCGCUCUGCAGUCUGCUGCCGGAGCCUCCGGCUACCUACUCUACGCCAUUUCUAAUAGACGCUUUAUAACGGCUUGCGGUUCCGAUUCGCAAGAUUUUUAAAUUAUACCCGUUCCAUAAUCCGGUGGUCGCAGGCAUCGUCCUGCAAUCAUUUUGUCAUACCGUACCUACUUCGGAGUCGUCGCUCCGCCGCUUCAUUUUUCAACUCCGGCCAGAAGAUUCUGAAUCAUCGUGCUUUUUAGCGCAGCGUUACUCGAGGGAUCGAAAAGCUUUUUCCAAUGAAAAAUUGUCGAAAUAAUAUCGAUUCGGUUCUGCCGAACCGCACGAAUAGCGUAACGGGUGGGUCAUCGUCCGAGCGAGUAAUCUUUGGAUCGAGAAUAAAUCAAUCGUUUGGCGUCCAUCUUCUUUUUGCAUAUUUAUAAUCAUCAACCGCCUACAGCCAUUGAUUAAACACACGCCCGGGAAUAGACUUUACUCGUGCGGAAUAUGAUGAAGCUGGAUUUAUGCGUGGACCGAUUUUAUUCGGUGGAUUGAUAUUCCCUGGGAAAUAAUAUCCGUCGAGGGAAUCGGCGAGUUUCGAUCCUUGAAAUCAGAUGAUCGGUGAGCGAUGCGAAGAGUCUUGCAAAUUCUUGUUCAUAAAUUUUCUGACUCACGUGUGUUCGGUACGCCGCAUAUUUCCCAUACUCAUAUAUAUGUAAUCAAUGUAACCUGACACCCGUUUUCCUUGAGCCUCUUACCCGAUUACACCAAAUUGUUUUAUACCUACAUUGUUGGAAACACAGCGACACGCGGUACAGAAAUUCAUGCGAUCGAAUACGAGCUUCAUAUUAUCUUGUCAAAACAUGACUAACGUACCUACGUAGGUGAUACACGUCGACUAGGAAUUCCGCUUAUCGAGCGCAAUUUUCGUCGAGCGGAUUCGAGUCAAGUUUUCACAUCUUGCGUGGAACAUCGCGGUCGGGAGCACCGAGAAUAUUCAAACGAAUUUUCGACGCCAGUCGCUGACGCAUUUGGACGUUCCAACGUUUAUACGGUCGAUGACGCGUAGAGCGGUAGUCCCAUUUCGCUGUACCUCUACAAUCAAUCUGAUUAUCAAACGAAACGAUUUUCACCUAACAAUGAGUCUGGAGCGCGACAUCCUCACUUCACGACCAAAUAAUUCAAUAGAUCAGGCGGAAUCGCUUCGAAGCCUUUCAAACGAUGUAUACAUUUCGUGGCGUUAUAUAUGUGUACGCGGUGCGAAUCGCAUAUGUAUAUGUAUAACCAGAUUGUAAUAGAAGUGCACAUGGGAGGAGUAUGAAGCGAAUUAAAUUGAUCGCAUAUGGAACAAUGGACACGAUAAAUUACAUUGAUCAUGAACCGGUACAAAAAUAGUAACGUUAUUAGAGUUCAUUAUAUGAUGAAAUAACUUGAUGAAGUAACAGAUUAUGCAACGCACACAUUCGUAUAACGUGGACGCUUACUUCGUUACGAGGAAAAUCGUAUCUACAUUGAAUUUUUCCUCAUGGGACGUUUGGCCUUACGACCAGAGGCAAGGCCACGUUCUCUCGAUGCACGAUGUUCGACAUUCACAUAUGUAUACCUAUGCCUUCCUGUGUAAUUUUUCAAAUUACCAAUUCUUCCUAGAGUUAUAAUUGAAUUUUUACAUACUCCGCGCUGAUGAUUAUUUUAUGGACUCACAAAUGAACGAGAAUAACGUAUUAUUCGGUAAGGUUUUUUCAUUACAUCCAACAGUACAUAGAUGGCUGUAACGAACGCGUGUCAUAAUGCGAAUAUAAUCGGUUCACCUACAUAUGAUUGAUAGAUGCAUUCCUCGUAAUGGCUUUGGCGUAAUGAAAAUAUUUUCCUACCCAUGACCCUGACUAAUUUCUUCACCCGUAAUACAUAACGUAGUAAUUAGACCGUGUUAAAAAAAAAAGGUUUAUUUUUUUUUUCUCUUUCGAAUGAACGUGUCUUGAAAGUUUCUUUGCCGCAAAAAACAAAUCGUCCCUCGAUGAUAUCUCAAAAAUUGAGCUGAAACAAAAAAAAUUCCCUUGACACGGUCUAGUAUACUAAUCCUUCAAUCCUUAUACGCACGAUAUUGAAAUUGUAUGGAAGCAUUUUCUCUUGACGUAUACGGAGAUAACGAUCACGCGCUAUUGUUGACUUAAUUUCAUUUUUAUUUAUUAGCGUCGUCUCGGCUCGUCAAACAAUUUUCUACGGAGUCUUCGCACGAAUUGUUCGUUUGUUUUGUUUUUUUUUUCCAUUUUUCACGAAUGACGAGCUGAGCGCCGUCACCUUUGGUUUUACCUCGAAAAACUCGGAACACUCCGAACGCUCCAACGGCGGACAUAUCGACGUGGCAAUUUACGGGUUUCUUCGAAUACCCGGAAACGCUGGUACGGUGUGACAUACGUGCAAAGAUUUUCUUUCCUCUACGUAAUUGUUAUGAUAAUCUUUUCGAGAUAUCUCCGCCGAGUGGUAAAACUUACGUACUCGGAAGCACCAAAAUGACGAAAUGUCGAAUACGAAACCCUGAGUUAUAUUUAAAGCUCUAAUGCUGGGCUAGAUAAAGACUCACAAAGGCAGGAAGAAAACCCGAGAGUUUCGUAACGAGCGCCAUUGGAUGACCACGUGAUCUUGGUCUGGGCGGCUGUCCUCGAGGAAGAUGGAGCGAAUCGUUAAAACGAUGGAGAAACUGAAAUACGACUACGUCCCUACUAUACGCCAUACUGGUACGGUACACGACACAACUAAUGGAAACAUGGCAACGAGAAAAGAACGACCGAAACAAGGGAGAAGAAGCCGUUCCUCCGCUGCUGCCGCUGCGUUGCUGCAGAAGUAGGGUGCGGUUAAGACUUCGAAUAAUAAAGACUCGCAUCUGAAAUUCCUCUCGACAAUUUUCGGUGGGACAUCCGGACGAAGCUCUAUAAUGAAAAGAGGACAUUUUGAAAGAUUCACACGAGUCUGUAGCCGCAGUCCUGAGACAAUCUUACAUUAUUUUCCUCCGUAAUAACGAAUUUUCUUUUGCGGUUGACCGGGAAUUUCGAAGGUCAUCCGGACGCAUGGGACGUUGGCAGCGGAGUUUCACGUGAUCACGAACUAGAUUGGUAUGAUCUUAUGCGGGAAGAAUCGUUGCGACCAACAUUCACCCGGACCAGUAAAGACUGACAAUGUGUUACCCACGAUUGAUUCGACUUACACAAUGCUUGUCCGGGACUGUAUAGUAAUACGUUAUUCUCGAAUAGAUACAAAUCCGGCUCUACCAGCGGCCAACUUCACCGCUGAAUAGUAUUACCAGUAUUACAUUCAUCGAGUGCAUAGCCAUGAAACGAACCGCGAAUCGCACAUGGCUGCGACAUCGUUGUUUUCAAUAAUAUUACAAAAUCAAUUCGUGACGUUGCUUAUCUCAAUUUCAACGAAGCCGGAAUCCCGAAUGAAGUCAAAGUUGUAUUAAUGCAUAGUUAAUCGCGGAAUGAUGAUGGUCCAUUUUUCGAUCAUUAGUAAAAAAGAUCCCCAGACUCGCGAAGGUCUCGGCAAUUAUUAUACAAUUAUCCGAAAACGAUAAAUCACGUUGUUCGUCAGUCGGACGGAAUUGUAGAGCGCACGAGUAAUUCAUAAAUUGGACAAAAAAUGAAGCGUGAACCGUCGAUGGAAAUUUACGAUGAAUUACGAGAAAUCACGAUGGCGUGCGAGGGCUUCGUGCGAGCUGAAAAAUUCAAAAACAUGCUCUUUCAGGCUAGUCGGAGGACCCCGCAACUGAGUAAACAACUCGAGGAUAAUCUAGACCUGAUCGAUCUUCAGUUUACGGAGAAUGGCGAGGGACGGGGUUGAGUCUCUUCGUUUCCAAGUCUACGCAAGUUACACCCGGACGACCGCUGGAUCGAAACCACUCAGGCCAAGCCAUGCCAACAACCUCUGUUCUCUGUUUCACCUGUUUUACGACAAUCGACGAUUUCGUACGACUUCACCCGAACCCUCCGAUUCAAACGUUAUGGCGCUUCGAUUCCGCUUGGAUUAGUCGGAUUUCACCGACCAUCCUAUAGCUCGGGGGACUCGGCUGGUGAAAUAUCAAAUUCAUGACCAUGCGAUCGAGAUUUUGUAAGAUUAUUCUCAAACCCGAAACACGGAACCCGUCGAGAAUAUCCAGGUACAGUCGAACGUUGAGUCGACGUUAUAUUUCAGAGGACGGCGCGUCAUGGGGUUUGCGAACGAACGGUGCAGGUCUGAGAAAAAAUUUAAGGGCUGUAAGGGCGGCCAUUGUGGGCAAACAUAUCCCUCGUCGUGCAGUUGCAGCUCGGUAAUACAUCAGGGCUAGGAAAUGGGCUUGGGUGUUGCUAAGCAACGACGUAGGGUGAAGGGCCGACGAAGAAGCCAGGCCCGUAUAUCCGAUAUUGUUUCGUCAAUUUUUCAAUCCGACUUUGCUUCCAGUGAAAUUACUGCUCUACGAAUUACAUCCGAAUCGCUACGCUCGACUCAAUUCGGAUCCGUCCCACAAUCCCUGCACAGAGUUUCAUUUAAUUGCUGUCGGAUUUCUUCAGUCAAAUUCGUUGUGAUUUGCCAAUCAGCUGAAUCAUACCGACUUUCUUUCGGUUACUCGUUCGGAACAAUCUAUCUCUUUACCGAUGACCUCGGGUGAAACUGAUCGGGUAUUACGAUUGGAUCCCCUUCAAUCAUAACUUGACCGAAUCGAACAUCGUCGAGAUGAGAAAAUGGAGAUAAUUGGUAACGAUUAAGGCGCAGGGGUGAAUCAAAACUGUCAGACGGUCCUGAGCGGUUCGUUCUCGGUUGAACUCUCUCCCCAGGGCGAUGUCUUCUGGUUGAAACGAGGGUACGACGCCCCGACAUCCCGACCCAUGACGCCUGCCACAAGCUGCACCGAAAAGGAUCGAGUCCAGAAUAGCGACGGCGUGCUGUGCGGAGUGGAUUUUAUAUUAUAUGUAUACACGUAUACAUAUGGAUGCGCCGAUAUGGUAUACAUACAAACUUGUAUUUUCAAGCAGAUAGACGUGCGGGCCGUCGGUAAGAGUCUGUUCGUGAGUAAUUAUCGUUAUCGGUCAACCUUUUAUCGCACGUGGAGUUAAUCGUCGUGUGAAUAUGCCGUUCCUGCGGGGAUGAAUACUCCAAUUAUGCUAAUCGUAAGGACUCGCGGGGGCUUGUAUUGUCCAUUUUAAUUACGGUCGAACCUUUCACGUUUCAAUUAUCAGAUACCUCUAGCGCGUGGUAUAAAUUAAUGCGUAUAUAUUCGUAAACCUCGAAGAGACAAGAUUAUACACUCAAAGUUACAAUAGACGCGUUUUCGCAAUUUCGGAAUACACUGCUCCGAAAAAAGCAUAUAAUAUAAGGCUAGCGUAAUCUGAACAUGCAAAUAAAGUGUUUCUUUAAUACCA